GAUGAACGCUGGCGGCGUGCCUAAUACAUGCAAGUCGAGCGAACAGACGAGGAGCUUGCUCCUCUGACGUUAGCGGCGGACGGGUGAGUAACACGUGGAUAACCUACCUAUAAGACUGGGAUAACUUCGGGAAACCGGAGCUAAUACCGGAUAAUAUAUUGAACCGCAUGGUUCAAUAGUGAAAGACGGUUUUGCUGUCACUUAUAGAUGGAUCCGCGCCGCAUUAGCUAGUUGGUAAGGUAACGGCUUACCAAGGCAACGAUGCGUAGCCGACCUGAGAGGGUGAUCGGCCACACUGGAACUGAGACACGGUCCAGACUCCUACGGGGGGCAGCAGUAGGGAAUCUUCCGCAAUGGGCGAAAGCCUGACGGAGCAACGCCGCGUGAGUGAUGAAGGUCUUCGGAUCGUAAAACUCUGUUAUUAGGGAAGAACAAAUGUGUAAGUAACUAUGCACGCCUUGACGGUACCUAAUCAGAAAGCCACGGCUAACUACGUG
rnacentral:rRNA from 1 species